rnacentral:rRNA from 1 species
CUAAGUUGGGGACUCUAAAGGAACCGCCGGUGAUAAGCCGGAGGAAGGUGGGGAUGACGUCAAGUCCUCAUGGCCCUUACACGCUGGGCUACACACGUGCUACAAUGGCGGUGACAAUGGGCUGCAAUCCCGCGAGGGUGAGCUAAUCUCAAAAAGCCGUCCCAGUUCGGAUUGUUCUCUGCAACUCGAGAGCAUGAAGGCGGAAUCGCUAGUAAUCGUGGAUCAGCAUGCCACGGUGAAUACGUUCCCAGGCCUUGUACACACCGCCCGUCACACCAUGGGAGUUGGAUUGACCCGAAGGCAGUGGGCUAACCCGCAAGGGAGGCAGCUGACCACGGUCGGUUCAGUGACUGGGGUGAAGUCGUAACAAGGUAACCGU